ACACUCCUGCGGGAGGCAGCAGUGGGGAAUAUUGGACAAUGGGCGCAAGCCUGAUCCAGCCAUGCCGCGUGAGUGAUGAAGGCCCUAGGGUUGUAAAGCUCUUUCACCGGUGAAGAUAAUGACGGUAACCGGAGAAGAAGCCCCGGCUAACUUCGUGCCAGCAGCCGCGGUAAUACGACGGGGGCUAGCGUUGUUCGGAUUUACUGGGCGUAAAGCGCACGUAGGCGGACUAUUAAGUCAGGGGUGAAAUCCCGGGGCUCAACCCCGGAACUGCCUUUGAUACUGGUAGUCUUGAGUUCGAGAGAGGUGAGUGGAAUUCCGAGUGUAGAGGUGAAAUUCGUAGAUAUUCGGAGGAACACCAGUGGCGAAGGCGGCUCACUGGCUCGAUACUGACGCUGAGGUGCGAAAGCGUGGGGAGCAAACAGGAUUAGAUACCCGGGUAGUCCCAUGA
rnacentral:rRNA from 1 species